UGCAAGUCGAACGAAGUAGCAAUACUUAGUGGCAGACGGGUGAGUAACAUGUAGGUAUCUGCCCUUUGGCCUGGAAUAACACGAGGAAACUUGUGCUAAUACCGGAUAAGUCUUUACGGAGAAAGCUUUAUGCACCAUUGGAUGAGCCUGCACUUGAUUAGUUUGUUGGUGGGGUAAUGGCCUACCAAGACUGUGAUCAAUAGCUGAUUUGAGAGGAUGAUCAGCCACAUUGGGACUGAGACACGGCCCAAACUCCUACGGGAGGCAGCAGUGGGGAAUCUUGCACAAUGGAGGAAACUCUGAUGCAGCGAUGCCGCGUGAGUGAAGAAGGCCUUUGGGUUGUAAAGCUCUUUCGUCGGGGAAGAAAAUGACUGUACCCGAAUAAGAAGGUCCGGCUAACUUCGUGCCAGCAGCCGCGGUAAUACGAAGGGACCUAGCGUAGUUCGGAAUUACUGGGCUUAAAGAGUUCGUAGGUGGUUGAAAAAGUUGGUGGUGAAAUCCCAGAGCUUAACUCUGGAACUGGCAUCAAAACUUUUCAGCUAGAGUAUGAUAGAGGAAAGCAGAA
rnacentral:rRNA from 1 species